rnacentral:sRNA from 1 species
UGGAAGUCAGAACAAGAUGGAAGAGGGCC